AACCCAUGCUAAGGACAUUUCUGUAGGAGAUCCUUGAACCUAUCCCAUGUCUCAAAAAGAGAUUCCAAUUCCUUUUUCACAAAAGAGGAUAUUUCAUUCCUGAGCUU